GAGGGUGUAGCUCAAGUGGUAGAGUACAUGCUUAGCAUGCAUGAGGCCCUGGGUUCAAUCCCCAUUACCUCCU
rnacentral:tRNA from 1 species